rnacentral:rRNA from 1 species
UACGUAGGGAGCAAGCGUUGUCCGGAAUCAUCGGGCGUAAAGCGCGCGUAGGUGGCCAUGUAAGUCCGCUGUGAAAGUCAAAGGCUCAACCUUUGAAAGCCGGUGGAUACUGCACGGCUAGAGUACGGAAGAGGCGAGUGGAAUUCCUGGUGUAGCGGUGGAAUGCGCAGAUAUCAGGAGGAACACCGAUGGCGAAGGCAGGUCUCUGG